rnacentral:rRNA from 1 species
GACGAACGCUGGCGGCGUGCUUAACACAUGCAAGUCGAACGAUGAACCCGGAGCUUGCUCCGGCGGAUUAGUGGCGAACGGGUGAGUAACACAUGAGUAACCUGCCCUUGACUCUGGGAUAACUGCGGGAAACUGUAGCUAAUACCGGAUACGACCCUCGGCGGCAUCGCCAGGGGGUGGAAAGAAUUUCGGUCAAGGAUGGACUCGCGGCCUAUCAGCUAGUUGGUGAGGUAACGGCUCACCAAGGCGACGACGGGUAGCCGGCCUGAGAGGGUGACCGGCCACAUUGGGACUGAGAUACGGCCCAGACUCCUACGGGAGGCAGCAGUGGGGAAUAUUGCACAAUGGGCGGAAGCCUGAUGCAGCAACGCCGCGUGCGGGAUGACGGCCUUCGGGUUGUAAACCGCUUUCGCCUGUGACGAAGCGUGAGUGACGGUAAUGGGUAAAGAAGCACCGGCUAACUACGUGCCAGCAGCCGCGGUAA